AUUGAACGCUGGCGGCAGGCCUAACACAUGCAAGUCGAACGAGUGGCGGACGGGUGAGUAAUGUCUGGGAAACUGCCCGAUGGAGGGGGAUAACUACUGGAAACGGUAGCUAAUACCGCAUACCAUCGGAUGUGCCCAGAUGGGAUUAGCUAGUAGGUGGGGUAAAGGCUCACCUAGGCGACGAUCCCUAGCUGGUCUGAGAGGAUGACCAGCCACACUGGAACUGAGACACGGUCCAGACUCCUAAGGGAGGCAGCAGUGGGGAAUAUUGCACAAUGGGCGCAAGCCUGAUGCAGCCAUGCCGCGUGUGUGAAGAAGGCCUUCGGGUUGUAAAGCACUUUCAGCGGGGAGGCGUUACCCGCAGAAGAAGCACCGGCUAACUCCGUGCCAGCAGCCGCGGUAAUAC
rnacentral:rRNA from 1 species